CCAGAAAAGACCAUCUCAGUUCGGAUUGUAGUCUGCAACCGACUACAUGAAGCUGGAAUCGCUAGUAAUCGCGAAUCAGAAUGUCGCGGUGAAUACGUUCCCGGGUCUUGUACACACCGCCCGUCACACCAUGGGAGUCGGAUAUGCCCGAAGCCGGUGACCUAACCGCAAGGAAGGAGCCGUCGAAGGUGGAGCCGAUGACUGGGGUGAAGUCGUAACAAGGUACC
rnacentral:rRNA from 1 species